rnacentral:piRNA from 1 species
UGGCAGAGUGCUUAGAUUGAGAAAUAUU